GACGUCACACUAAUCUCUCUUAUCCCAGUUAUUGGACUUCGUCUAAAAUUUCAGAAGUACCUCAAGAAGGUGCUUGACAAUGUAAGAGACAUCCUACUGAUGACACCUGAUUGCAGAGAUAUUUUGGAUAAUAUUGAUGAAAAGCACUGCAUUUCACUUCAAGAUAAACGAGCCAUGGUACGGAUAUUAGUGUCACAUCUGAUGGAGCACUUUGGAGAAAAUCCAACUGCAGAUACGAAUGUCAGAUUGGCUUCAUCAAUAGUUGAACAGCUUCCAUGGCUUAAGGACUGCCAGGGUAAAGGCUAUGAAGCAUGGUUCAGUCCAGGUCGAAGUCACAGACCUACCACAGGCUUCCUUUAGGAGUGUCUUCGGAAUGUACGGAAAAGGCUCCGCAGAGGAAGACAGACUCCUGAUUUAUCAGAUGAAUUUAGAGAAAGCAUCAGAUUGAUUUUGCCAGAUAUCCCAGGACUUCUCUGUUUUGAAUUCAGACUGUGCUUCAAAACUCACAGAGAACUGGGUUUCGGUAUUUAAGGAUACGAUCCUGCAGUUAGAAGAGAGAAGCAGGCUCUUUGUUUACUAUCUGAUGUAGACACUAUGUCAGCAGACAAACAGAGUGACAUUGCUUUACUGGUCCUUCCCAUGGUGCUUCCAACAUCUGUCUACAAGAUUGGAAGGAAAAUGUUUAGACCAAGUUUCAUAGAAACAAGGAAGGCCUUCAUAGACAUACAGUAAGUUAACUCUACAUAUACAAUGCUCUGAUUUUGAGGUUAAUGACUCCUAAAGCUUAAAAAAGCACCCAAAAAUAUCUUAGUAUUCACUUAAAGGAACAGUUCUGCAAGAAAUUAAAAUUCUGUUUUUUAUUCUCCCUCUUGUCGUUCCAAACCUGUAAGACUUUUGUUCAACUUUGGAACAUAAAUUAAGAUAUCUGAAGAAUGUUCUCAGCUGUUCUUGUCCAUAUAAUGACAGACAAUGAUGAUUUGUAUUUUCAAGCUUAAAAAAGAACAUAAAGGCAUCAUAAAAGUUCUCCUUACGGCUCGGGUCAUAUAUCAGAAGUGUUCUGAAGUGAUCCCAUCACUUUAUAUGAUGAUUAGAUUGAUUAUUGAUGACUAUACACACUCAAAUCACUCAAAUCCGGAUAAAUGGGCAGGGUUGCAUCAGGAAUGGCAUCCGGUGUAAAACGUGCCAAAUAAAAGAUGUGGAUCAUCCGCUGUGGUGACCCCUGAUGGGAGCAACCAAAAGAAGAAGAUACACACUCAAAUCAAAUCACUACACCGAUCAGCAAACACACAUAACACAUACAAAAUGACAUCACAAACCUCUGCUAGCAUCAAUCCUCAUUGAUUCUCAGUGACAUCAUGAUGUCAUAACAUUAGGUUUGAUUUAAUGGCAGUGUUGUAGUUCUUGUAUACACAAGUUAGAAUGAGUGUCAUGAUUUGAUUUGAGAGUAAAAAUGACUUAUUAAAAUUUAAGUUCAUCAUAUAAAAUGAUUGUAUUGCUUCAGAACACUUCUGAUAUACGAUUUGAGCCACAUGGAGAACUUGUUGUUUUUGGAGCUUGAUAGUUUUGUUUUAGUUGCUUUUGAUUACAUGGACAAAAACAGCUGAGCUCAAAUAUCUUCAUUUAUGUUCUGAAGAUGACCAAAAGUCAUGCAGGUUUGGAACAACAUGAGGGUGAGUUAAAUGAUGACAGAAUUUUCAUUUAUGUGGGGACUAUUCCUUUAAAUCAUUAUUUGCUCUCUAAUAUCUAAUAUAAGCCCUAAUCAAAUACGGGGAAAUGCCAGUAACUUCAAACAUUGGUUUUUGUCUCUCCUGAGACCAAAUGUCAUGACAUAAGAACCAGUGAGGAUUUUACUGAUGUAGCCACCAUGUUGGAUUCCAGCAUCGUAUACUGGCUGUGCAGCAUACAAAGUAAUUAUUGGUACCAAUAUGUCUGAGUACCUGCAACGUGCGAAAAAACACCACCGAAUUUCCAUAAGUCCUGAUGCUUGGAGACAACAACCAGUGCUUUCAAGCCUUUGUUGUUAUAAACGGAGAAGCACUUGAGCAAAACACAUUGCUGGCAGCAGUAGAUGUUUGCUUUAUGGCAUUCUACACCUUAAAUGUCAAUUUCCCCAAAACAUGUUCCCCAGUUUAGGAAUUUUUACAGAUUGUGGUGUAUGGACUUCCUGGAAAUGAAUCCCCCACUAUAAAGAUUCUGCAAGCAUACAUUUCUCUCACAUCUAUUUAAAUUUCUUAUACUGCUAUAGAUGUUCGCAUUUAAUGCAUUCUACACCUCUGGUAUAAAUUUUUUCAAACAGUGUUUUCAUCUUAAGCAUUUAAUUUGUGUUUAAUUUUUUGUAUGUUGAUUACAUUUUGUAAGUGCAGAGCCUGUUAUGAAUUUUUUAAUAAUUAAUAUUUUUACAAUGACUACAACAUUUUUUAUUAUUUUGUCUGUGUUUUCCUGUGCUUAUAGUGCGUUAUAUUAGAAAGGUUGGUUGAAUGGCAAAAAGUUAUUUUUUUAUCCUUUGUAAUUGCACUUAAAUUGCACAAACUCGGGCACACACACUGAAAACUGUUUUUAGUUGUGCAUAUUGUAUA